rnacentral:rRNA from 1 species
GACGAACGCUGGCGGCGUGCUUAACACAUGCAAGUCGAACGGAAAGGCCUCUUUCGGGGGGUACUCGAGUGGCGAACGGGUGAGUAACACGUGAGUAACCUGCCCUUGACUUUGUGAUAACUUCAGGAAACUGGGGCUAAUACCGGAUAGGAGCUCCUGCUGCAUGGUGGGGGUUGGAAAGUUUCGGCGGUUGGGGAUGGACUCGCGGCUUAUCAGCUUGUUGGUGGGGUAGUGGCUUACCAAGGCUUUGACGGGUAGCCGGCCUGAGAGGGUGACCGGCCACAUUGGGACUGAGAUACGGCCCAGACUCCUACGGGAGGCAGCAGUGGGGAAUAUUGCACAAUGGGUGGAAGCCUGAUGCAGCAACGCCGUGUGCGGGAUGACGGCCUUCGGGUUGUAAACCGCUUUCGCUCAUGACGAAGCUUUGUGUGACGGUAGUGGGUAAAGAAGCACCGGCUAACUACGUG